rnacentral:rRNA from 1 species
UACGAGGGGUGCCUAGCGUUGUUCGGAAUCACUGGGCGUAAAGCGUAUGUAGGCGGACCUCUAAGUCAGGUGUGAAAUCCCACGGCUCAACCGUGGAAUUGCAUUUGAAACUGGAGGUCUUUGAGUGUGGGAGAGAUUGGUAGAAUACCUGGUGUAGUGGUGAAAUACGUAGAUAUCAGGUGGAAUACCGGUGGCGAAGG